rnacentral:tRNA from 1 species
GCUAGGGUAGCUCAGUGGUAGAGCUCUUGUCUGGUAUACACAAGACAUGAAUUCUAGGGUUCCAUCCCAAGUA